UCUAGAGUCUGCUACACUAAGCAGUUGGGCCCAUACCCCAAAAACGGCACAUCCUUGCCCUCUAGCA
rnacentral:tRNA from 1 species